rnacentral:tRNA from 1 species
ACCAGGAUCUGCUACACUAAGCAAUUGGGCCCAUACCCCAAAAACGGCACCAUCUGCCUCCUGAUA